rnacentral:rRNA from 1 species
UACGGAGGGGGCUAGCGUUGUCGUGAAUCACUGGGCGUAAAGGUCGCGCGUGAGCGGGUCUUUAAGUCAGGGGUGAAAUCCGUGGAUCAACUCCAGAACUGCCUUUGAUACUGAAGAUCUUGAGUUCGGGAGAGGUGAGUGGAACUGCGAGUGUAGAGGUGAAAUUCGUAGAUAUUCGCAAGAACACCAGUGGCGAAGGCGGCUCACUGGCCCGAUACUGACGCUGAGGCACGAAAGCGUGGGGAGCAAACAGG